rnacentral:misc_RNA from 1 species
UUGAAUACGAUUGGUACUGAUGCUGGCUCUUCACUGAGCAUGUGCUCGUUCCAUCUAUUUAUCUUCUCUUGUGCACAUCUUGUGGUCUUGAAUUGAAACCUCUCGCAUUCGUGCGGUCUGGGAGUUUGAAUAAACCCUGCUCCUGCUUCAUUCAAGGUCAUGUUUUCAUAUACACUAUAAAGUUACAGAAUGUCUUUUAACGAUUGCGCAAGCAGUCAUUAAACCUAUA